rnacentral:rRNA from 1 species
GGGCAAGUCUGGUGCCAGCAGCCGCGGUAAUUCCAGCUCCAAUAGCGUAUAUUAAAGUUGUUGCAGUUAAAAAGCUCGUAGUUGAACCUUGGGCCUGGCUGGCCGGUCCGCCUCACCGCGUGCACUGGUUCGGCCGGGCCUUUCCCUCUGGGGAACCCUAUGGUCUUCACUGAUCGUAGCGGGGAACCAGGACUUUUACUGUGAAAAAAUUAGAGUGUUCAAAGCAGGCCUAUGCUCGAAUACAUUAGCAUGGAAUAAUAAAAUAGGACGUGUGGUUCUAUUUUGUUGGUUUCUAGGACCGCCGUAAUGAUUAAUAGGGACAGUCGGGGGCAUCAGUAUUCAAUUGUCAGAGGUGAAAUUCUUGGAUUUAUUGAAGACUAACUACUGCGAAAGCAUU